UGGGGGGUCGGCUAAUGGAAGGCCAGCUGCCUUUGGAGCAGCGAGUCCAGGUUCGAGUCCUGGCCCCCCAGCCA
rnacentral:tRNA from 1 species